rnacentral:tRNA from 7 species
CGCGAGAUGGAGCAGUGGUAGCUCAUCGGGCUCAUAACCCGAGGGUCGGGGGUUCAAGUCCCUCUCUCGCAACCA